GCCAGCCACAGCACAGGACACAAGUGCCUUCAUAAGAUGUAAUAGGCUUAUAUUUAUCUUCUUUUAUGCCUAUUUAUAUUUUAGAGAUAUAUUAUUCCCCCUUCAUGGGUUUGUCAUUUAUUCCAACAGAUGCUGAUGGUGUUCUCACACGUGUGGACCCCCAUGCUACAGCAGAACUCCUUGAAGCUGAGGAAACAGAUGAAGAGGACACAUUGUCUGCUGCCACAGAGAGGGAUCCAGAGAGGCCUACAGAAAACAUGGCUGGGCAACAGGAGGGUCCAUCAACUUCAACAGCACAGAUGAAUACAGUGAGAUGUGCAGCAACUGCCAGAG